rnacentral:rRNA from 1 species
CAAUAGCGUAUAUUUAAGUUGUUGCAGUUAAAAAGCUCGUAGUUGGAUUUCGGUUGAGAACGGCCGGUCCGCCGUUUGGUGUGCACUGGCUGGUCUCAACUUCCUGUAGAGGACGCGCUCUGGGUUAACGCUCGGACGCGGAGUCUACGUGGUUACUUUGAAAAAAUUAGAGUGUUCAAAGCGGGCUUACGCUUGAAUAUUUCAGCAUGGAAUAACACUAUAGGACUCCUGUCCUAUUUCGUUGGUCUCGGGACGGGAGUAAUGAUUAAAGGGAGAGACUAGGGGGCGACUCGUAUUUCCUCGUAGAGAGGUGGAAUUAACUUCUAGGACCUAAUGGAAGACGAACCUACUGCGAAAGCAUUUGCC